rnacentral:lncRNA from 1 species
AGGCUGUCGGAAGAACAACUCCUCUUCCUGUUGCUAGGUGCUGUCUCCAAUGCUCGCUGUUCCUUAGCUUGUGUCCACCUCCCUGCGAUCUGGGCCUCUGUCCUCACGUGGCUGUUUCCUGUGUGUCUUUGUGUCCAAAUCCACUCUCCUUUCUCCGAUAAGGACACCAGUCAGUGGAUCGGGGGCUCACCUGAAACCCGUCACGAUUUCCAAUCAAGAUCCCUAACUCAUUACAUUUGCAAACACUCUAUCCCCCCAGUAAGGUCCCCUUGUGAGAUUCCUGGUGAUGCAAAUUUGAGGAAGGGGACCCUCGUGGACCCACUGCGGGACAUCCCUUUGGGUCUCUCUGUCGUCCCUGUGAGGCUUUCAUGUUGCAGCGACCCCCAAGGAGCCGAGAAGUGGUGUCCACAGGAGGAACCGACAAAGUGUGCUAUUCUGGGCACAGCCUGGUAUUUACAGAGUGGCAUUGCCCAUGCCCAUGCCCACGGACCACCUGCCCAGAGAGCCCCCGGGACCAGCAAUCUGUGGGGGCGGGAGACAGCCGCACAGAUGAGAACAAAAAUGAAAAACUACAGGAAUGUGUGCUGCCUUGAGGCUCGUCUGCUCCUGAUUAAUUGGGAUGAUGGCGAAAUACAGGGCGUUUUCUUGCUGUCGGCGGGCAUGGUCCUCCCUCGCAAACUUAAUGAGCUGUGCCUGGACGUUGGUCCGGCUUCCCCCUUUAUUCACCCAUGUGUGCUGUUCACCUCCAAGGUUGGAAGACCACUUAGCAACCUCCCUUCCCUGCUGGGCUUCUUUCUGGGAGCUGGGUCCCCGGAUCAGCGGUGCCUGUCCAUCAAAGGCAGGCGGACACAAAAGGCUCGCCCAGGGGGCUGCCUGCCAAGCCCAGGGAGGCCGAUCCAGCACCGAGCUCACAUUCAGAGUAGAUUAUCUCUGCUUUCGGGGACACUGUUCCCUGCCAAAGGAAUGUUUCUAGGACAUCGUGAGGUCUCCCUGCCGGCAGGGAAAACGUAG